rnacentral:rRNA from 1 species
AGUGAACGCUGGCGGUAGGCCUAACACAUGCAAGUAGAACGGCAGCACAGUAAGAGCUUGCUCUUACGGGUGGCGAGUGGCGGACGGGUGAGGAAUACAUCGGAAUCUACUUUUUCGUGGGGGAUAACGUAGGGAAACUUACGCUAAUACCGCAUACGACCUACGGGUGAAAGCAGGGGAUCUUCGGACCUUGCGCGAUUGAAUGAGCCGAUGUCGGAUUAGCUAGUUGGCGGGGUAAAGGCCCACCAAGGCGACGAUCCGUAGCUGGUCUGAGAGGAUGGGUGGCCACUGGUGGAGAGUGAAGAGGUCAGGACUCCGACGGGAGGCAGCGAGGGGGAAUGGUGGACAAUGGGCGCAAGCGUGAAACAGCCGUGUGGCGUGGAUGAAGAAGGCCUUCGGGUUGUCAAGCCGUUUUGUUGGGAAAGAAAGACAGCGGGUUAAUACACCGCUGUUCUGACGGUACGGAAAGAAUAAGCACCGGCUAACUUCGUG